rnacentral:rRNA from 1 species
AAACCGCGAACGGCUCAUUAUAACAGCUAUAAUUUACUUGAUCUUGACAACCUACUUGGAUAACUGUGGUAAUUCUAGAGCUAAUACAUGCACAAAAGCUCCGACCUAAAGGAAAGAGCGCAUUUAUUAGAACAAAACCAAACGGCUUCGGCCGUCCACUGUUGAACCAGAAUAACUAAGCUGACCGCAUGGUCUUGUACCGGCGGCAUGUCUUUCAAGUAUCUGCCUUAUCAACUUUCGAUGGUAGCGUAUCUGCCUACCAUGGUGAUGACGGGUAACGGAGGAUAAGGGUUCGACUCCGGAGAAGGGGCCUGAGAAAUGGCCACUACGUCUAAGGAUGGCAGCAGGCGCGCAAAUUACCCACUCUCAGAAUGAGGAGGUAGUGACGAGAAAUAACGAGACAGUUCUCUUAUGAGGCCUGUCAUCGGAAUGGGUACAAUCUAAACCCUUUAACGAGUAUCUAUGAGAGGGCAAGUCUGGUGCCAGCAGCCGCGGUAAUUCCAGCUCUCAAAAUGCAUAGAAUUAUUGCUGCGGUUAAAAAGCUCGUAGUUGGAUCUGUGCCGGCGUCCCGGUCCGCCCUCACGGGCGUGUACUGGAUUCGCUGGUUUUCCGCUCAACUCCUGCCAGCGUCCUUCACUGGACGUCUGGAAAGGGUGAGCAAGUUUACCUUGAACAAAUCAGAGUGCUCAAAACAGGCGUUUCGCUUGAAUGUUCGUGCAUGGAAUAAUAGAAGAGGAUUUCGGUUCAAUUUUAUUGGUUUUAUUGACUGAGAUAAUGGUUAACAGAGACAAACGGGGGCAUUCGUAUUGCUACGUGAGAGGUGAAAUUCUUGGACCGUAGCAAGACGGACUACAGCGAAAGCAUUUGCCAAGAAUGUCUUCAUUAAUCAAGAACGAAAGUCAGAGGUUCGAAGGCGAUCAGAUACCGCCCUAGUUCUGACCGUAAACGAUGCCAACUAGCGAUCCGCC